rnacentral:rRNA from 1 species
AAUUGGAGGGCAAGUCUGGUGCCAGCAGCCGCGGUAAUUCCAGCUCCAAUAGCGUAUAUUAAAGUUGUUGCAGUUAAAAAGCUCGUAGUUGAAUUUCGGGAUCAAUAUUUCGGUCAUGCCGUUGGUAUGCACUGUUAUCAUUGAUUUCUCACCUUCUAAAGAACCGUAAUGCCAUUAAUUUGGUGUUACGGGGAAUUAGGACUGUUACCUUGAAAAAAUUAGAGUGUUUAAAGCAGGCUCACGCUUGAAUACAUUAGCAUGGAAUAAUGAAAUAGGACAUCCGAUUCUAUUUUGUUGGUUUCUAGGAUCGAUGUAAUGAUUAAUAGGGAUAGUUGGGGGCAUUAGUAUUCAAUUGUCAGAGGUGAAAUUCUUGGAUUUAUCGAAGACUAACUACUGCGAAAGCAUUUGCCAAGGAUGUUUUCAUUAAUCAAGAACGAAAGUUAGGGGAUCGAAGACGAUCAGAUACCGUCGUAGUCUUAACCAUAAACUAUGCCGACUAGGGAUCGGAUGAUGUUAAUUUUUUAAUGACUCAUUCGGCGCCUUACGGGAAACCAAAGUGU